rnacentral:rRNA from 1 species
UACGUAGGGGGCGAGCGUUGUCCGGAUUUAUUGGGCGUAAAGAGCUCGUAGGCGGCUCAGUAAGUCAGGUGUGAAACCUCCAGGCUCAACCUGGAGACGCCACCUGAUACUGCUGUGGCUAGAGUCCGGUAGGGGAGCGUGGAAUUCCUGGUGUAGCGGUGAAAUGCGCAGAUAUCAGGAGGAACACCAGCGGCGAAGGCGGCGCUCUGGGCCGGAACUGACGCUGAGGAGCGAAAGCGUGGGUAGCAAACAGG